UACGUAGGGAGCAAGCGUUGUCCGGAAUCAUUGGGCGUAAAGCGCGCGUAGGUGGCCUCGUAAGUCCGCUGUGAAAGUCAAAGGCUCAACCUUUGAAAGCCGGUGGAUACUGUGAGGCUAGAGUACGGAAGAGGCGAGUGGAAUUCCUGGUGUAGCGGUGGAAUGCGCAGAUAUCAGGAGGAACACCGGUGGCGAAGGCGGAUCUCUGGGCCUUACCUGACGCUCAGGCGCGAAAGCUAGGGGAGCGAACAGG
rnacentral:rRNA from 1 species